AGCUGAUGAUGACAAAGAGAGGUUUUGGCAGGAAAAAUCCUUUAACAUUUGGAACAUUAUUAUGAAAUAUAAUAUUGUCCUUUGCAGAUCAGUCCAAAGCUAUUCCGUGCAAAUUGUUGCAUUCUCCUCCUUGGUGUCAGCUGGAACAGAGGGGGAACCACAUCCCUGAAAGUACUGACACUUACACCAAACCAAACUCAGCUGGAAGGAGACACAGGGAAGUGAGAACUCUGCCACUGGGUUGAGAAACCCUGCAGGACUGAGACUCCUGAUUUGUAAAAAAUGAUUGCACUGUGGGAAAACUGAGGGUGUUGUAAUGGCUUUUAUGCCUGACUCCACAGCUGCUACAGCUCUACCAGCAACUUUGGAGUGUUUGGUUCCAUAUCACCUCUGAAACACACCUGAGUAUUAUUCCUGCUCUCAAGAAUACAGGAAAUCUGAAGAUUUCUGGCAUAAGGCUUUUUGAAUAUUUGCAGUAAUGACAAGGAAAAACAUGGACAUUCACAAAGCAGCAAGAGCAUCCUGGGCUAAAAGAGCCAACUAAAAAUUAUUUUUUUCAACAGAUUGGAUGACACAGGUAACCUUUGCCAUUCCUCUGUACUUUACAUGAGUCAAGGGAAGACAACAUUAAAUUAUACAAUGCCAGGUAUGUAGAAAUGAUAAUUUCCUGCUGAUAGAAUUCUUCAGGCAGCUUCUCUGAAAGUUUACCUACCUUAAAGAAAACAAAUAAUAUUUCUCUGUAUGUUAACAUUGUGUUGACCCUUAUGUUCACAUUUCUAUGGACUUGUGGAAGAACGUGGUGGAAAUACCUGGUAAAUGCUUGUAGAAUUAAAAACCAAAAAUCUGACUUGUGAAAAUGGUCUUGGUAUCAUAAAGCUCAUGAAAUCAGGACAGUCACUUAUAAGUUUUAGCAGAUGGAAAAAUGUAAACUCCAAGGCUCAAACAGACACAGAAUUUAAACUUGUCUAUAGCCCAUGGUCUAUAACUCCUUUACCCCCACAUAUACUUUUAUCUUCAUGUAAAUAACUUUGCAUUGUACCCUGUUUUGUACAUUUGGCUUGCACCAGGUCUAUUUCAGAUGACAACUCAGUACAAAAAACUUGACAUUAAUGUUCAGGCACUAUUCCUUCCAUGGCAGGCAAUUAUGACAGAGAAUUCUUAUUUUUUUCCUCUUUUAACCUAGAGGUGACCUGCCACUGGAAUGCAGUUUCCUCUCUCAUAAUUGUAAAAACACUAAUAGCACCAUGUCAUGCAACACUGAGAAAAACCCCAAACAAACAAAAAAAGCCUCUCACAGACCUGUAAUACCAUUGUUACUUGGAUAAUAAAGAGGGGGAUUUUCCCUUUAUGGCUCAGGGAUGGACACAAACAUGACAAAUAAUGAGACAAAUACCAAGGAAAACUAACAGGAUUUUUGGGACAAGUGACAGAGACAUGGGGAUGAGCCCCUCUGCCACACUGCUGCUGAAAUUUGUCUGCAAAUGGUCACUUUGGACGAGAAAUGGAACAGAAAGUUUUAGGAACUCUUAAAAUUAUUUCAAUGCAUGCUUGAAAUAUUUAAAAAAUCUCUUACAAUGGUCUGAGCUGGCCAGGUAAGCUGAAUGAUUGUUGUUUCACUGCGCUGGUGCUGCUAAACAGAACCCAUCAGUGGGUGAGGGCUGGGAAUCCAUGGAGUACAGGCAGCCAGGGGGAUUUAGGAAUUACCCUAAACUAACAGGGCAGGACAGGAGCUCAACUGGGGAGGAAUCCAUGGAGUACAGGCAGCCAGGGGCAUUUAGGGAAUUACCCUGAACCAACAGGGCAGACAGGAGCUCAGCUGGGGAACCCCGAGGAAUUUACCCUGAGGGGUUCCCUGGCUCACCUGGCCUGGGGGAUGCAGGGAUUUUGGUCCCUGAUGUUCUCUCUGAGGGAUGCUGGAGGGAAGCGAGCACUGCCCUGCAAAGGGAACCACCCAAAUGCACUGGCAGUGACACACUGAGCUCAGCUGCCAUUCCUGGAAUUCCAUUCCUGCAAUUCCAGAAAUUCACAGCUUUGUUAGCAUGGCUGGAACAGAGUGGUUAGGGGCAGCAGAAAUAUGACUCCAUGCAAUAAUCCAAACCUCAGACAGAAGAAUUUACUUCUUUUUUCACUGUUUCCUAACCACUGUUUGGGAAUUUCCAAUUCCUCGCAGGCUUAUAGAAAUCUCAAGAGAAGCAUAAAAUUAUUGAAUUAGUUUUAGAUAUGCUAAGCCUUUUAGCUCACAUUACAUCAAUGGCAAAUGAGUACACCACAGUUCUAAAAGUCAGAUUACUCAUUCAGGAUCAAAAUACGACUUUGAAAUAUCUGGCAUACGCAUUUUUAAAAUUCAAAAUGUGUUAGUAAUUAAUAUUUGGGUAAAAAAAAAGUAUCAUCAAAAGUAUUUUCAUGAGAUAAAAAACUCAUGACAGUUGAGGAUCAAUACUUCUGGAAAAGAUUAUAGUAAUUGCACAUAUAUAAUUUUCAGAUUUUUGUUUUGCAAAUACACAAACUACUGCAGAAACCUCAAAUAAAUUCAAUUCAUACAUUUCUUCCCAUUGAGAGAGAGAGGAAUGAACUUUGUGUAAUUUAUUUUUCUGUUCUAUUUGUGUUAUCUUAUGUUUCAAUUUAAACUAAACUUGUUUCAGAUGACUCUCAUGUAGUGAAACAAGACAAAUUUUAGUGUUUCAGUUUUGCAGAUAUGAUUUAGCAUUCAAAAAAGCACCUUUACAAACCAACUCAUUCUGCUGCAUUUUUUAACUUUUGUAAACAGAUUGCAGAGAAGGAGCCAAUGCAGAUCUGGACAUCUUGUAUGUCAUCAGGCACAGCUUUUGAGUUUUUUAUUGCAUAAGGGAUGGAUUUCUGACAACACAUUUUAAAAAUUGCUUCUUAUCCAAAAAACGACAGGCAAGAAAAUUACUCAUGAAGAAUAAUCUUUGUUCAGUGAGAGCAGUGCCCCCACGUUCUCUGCAAUGGCCGAGGGAAGUGGCUGCACGUGGAACACCAGACAGAUCCCAGGGAGAAAAAUCUCCCCAAAACUCCUGCCACAGGGGGUUUCCACAGCAGUUUGUGGCUUCCACUCCAGCCCCUGAGUGGAACAUCUGAGCUUUCCCUAACCAGAUAUCUGUCACUAACAAAUCUGUCAGUAUAAGAGUAAAGUCAGAAUUUUAGACACCUUGCACUGGACAGUGCACUAAACCCCACACAUGAAUUAUUUUUCAAUAGUUGUUAUGACAGUUGUGUGGGUUAUGAUUGUUACAGAGGAUUUAAAAAAUUUGUUAGUUCUUCAACAUCAUUAAUUAAAGAAAAUAAUAAUAAUUAAUAAGAGGAAAAGUUUCUUUACAAAUGUUGAGGCUAUCUAAGGAGCAAAAAAUAUUUGGUAGAAGAAAGUGGUCAGGGUUCACCAUGGAAAAGAAUGAACAGAGUAUUUCAAGGUUUGGUCCUAAGGAAUAUGAAAUACAUUACAUUUGUUAUGUAAUAUAAGUUGUAUUAAAAACUUACAUUUUCUAGCCAUUCUAAUAUUUUCAGAAGAAAAAGAAAAUUCCACUCAUAGACUUUACAAAAUUCUAAAUCAAUGCCAUCAACUGCAUUAAACUUGUCAGGAGGCAGAUCCAACAAAGCUGAACAGGUGUAAGCAAGAAAUAAAUAUUAUUAUAGAAUGAUGGGGGAGAAAGGUGAAACUAUACUGCUGACAAAUGUAGGCUAUUUCAUUAAAAAAUUCUGCUUUUAUCUGUAAUAAUGGUCUGAGAAAGACGAUGCAAACAUUUUUAGAAACAUUUAAAAAUUCUUACCUGAUGAGAAUUUGAAAAGACUAGAAAGUCUAAUUCAAGCAGCCACGAAUACAAGGAUACACCAUAGAAACUCACACUCAUUAUUGGCAUGUGUAGAAUAUCCAAAGUUCCUCCCUGUGUGCUCAGGAGCUCAUCUGGAGAACAUCCAAACAUGAGGUGGUUCCUCUCCAGUGAGUUCAUCUUGCCUGACAUCUCUGUUCCCUUGUUCUGGAUUUCCUGAACAGAAAUCCUGUCCCAUCUCUCUCCUACAGAUAUAUUACACAAACCCCUCAGCACUUCAGAUUCUCUGCAAAACAGACAAUUUUGGGGAACAGCACCCGAUUUUAUGUGUUCUCCUUUGCUGCAGGGAAUCUACAGUCACUGUGAAUGUGUCAUUUUUCCUCAGCCUCCAUCCAUGGUCUCACACACCCAGCAACCCUCUCCUCUGGCAGCUUUCCUUCCCUCCCAGAACAGAAACCACUCAUACAUUUUACUCCUUUCCCCAAAAUACUGCUCACGCUACUAAUUACAACCCCGCCAGUACUUUUUUAGUUUGCAAACUUGCUGCUCUUCUCCAGAAGAUAAAAGAUUUUUGACUCCAUCCUACCCAUUUUCCCUUUCAAUCUUCACAUGGCCUUUAUUCCAUCUAACAAAUUAAUUCAUAUCUGAUGGUCAUGGGCCUUUUUCUGGCCAAACCAGGGUUUUUUUCUGUUUGGAUCUUCUGUAAAUUCUGUUUCUCUUUCUUGCUGUCUCUUCUCUUCAGAUCAUCCUGCACAACUUGUACAAAUUUGUUCUUUGCGUUACAUGACAUUAUUUCAACUGUAGAUACUGAGUCAAAAAUCUUCUCUUUAAAAAAUAAACAUAAUAUUUGCAAUAUUUGAAAUAUAAUUAGCAACCAGUUAAAUAGCAACCAUCUAAAUAGAACUUGAGCCAUACAGUGAAUAAAAAAACUUGGUCUGAAUUCCUGCACAGUAUCUGUUACAUCUCUGCCAAACAAAAGAAUGAGUUGAGCACAAAAUGAAGCUCUUGUUUUCCAACAAAUGCUACUUAGCUUUAGCUCAUAACAUUAGCUGAGAAGAUUAGGCCUAUGAAAACUCAAUUUUCCCAGUCCAAUGGGAAUAGUGGAAAAUAAUACACAACAAAAUAAUAAAACCAGCCUUGUUUUACUCAAAAGAACCUAACACUGUGUCAACAUCCUCUUCAAGUGAUUGAUGAAGUAAUAUGGUGCUACACCAAAAUAGGGGCUGGCUAUCAUUUAGAAAAACAAACACAGUGGAGACAACCAAGGAAACAAUUGUAUAGAUAAAAACCCCAAACCACUGACAAGGCAAGAACACAAUUCAGUACAGAAAAUGGAGAAUUUCAGAGAUAGCAGUGGGGUUCCAUUAGCUGCCUGGCUAAUCAGGGACCAAGUGCUGACAGGUAAUGCACUGGAAAAAUGCUGAAAUUCCAGGCCAAAUUCCAGGCCAAAAUUCCAUCUCAGGUCAUGGCUUUUGCACAGUGCAGAUCAGCCAGGGGAAACGGGGUGGGAGAAGGGGCCUGGCUGCCGGAGCUGUGGGGAAAUGUGUGGUGUCCCAAAAACACAGCCUCUGCUUCUGAGGGACCUCAGAAGUGUCACCAGGGGUGAAGGUGUGAUCUCCAGCAGGAGGAAUUUUCAGUGGAGUAGCCCUUAGGAGAAGUGUGCACCCCAAAAAGUUUUCAAUAUUUUUAAAGAAGCAAAAAUAACUCUUGAUGUUUGUAAUACCGAUCUGAUCUCUUACCAAAAGUUUUAUUGGAUUUUCAAAUACAUUUGUAAGAAUCUGCCUUCUAACUUCUGCAGCUCGUUUAUUAAAUGGAUAGCUUUGGUUCAGCGCUCCAAAAGCCAUGGAAAUGUAUACAUGAAUUCCUAAAAGCUGCUGUUAGACACACCUGCAUUUGUCACAGCCUGGACAAGCACGAGCACACCUGACAAUGGUCAUGGCUAGAGAUGGCAAUGGUUGAUUUGGUAAUCGUGGAGGCUCCUCUGUUCUUGGAAAGCAUCCACAGCAUUUAAUAUAGUUUUCCCUAAUUUUGUAUGCUGCCACAUGGAUAUUUCACUUCUGCCAGGUCACAAGAGUGUUUGAGCUCUUUCCUGAUUAACUUCAUGGUUUACAUUUCCCAAAGUUCCAAAAUGAGUGUGCAGUGCUGUGGGACUAUGAAUCUCCCCAGAGUACUGUAAUGUCCUUGAAUGGUUUUGUCACUAGAGAGAAGAAAUUUAACCUAGAAGGAAUGAGGUCUGUAAAGAACACAACAGAACUAUAAACUCAGAGAAGUACCUGCAAGAGAAAGGGAACAGUCUGCUAACUGAAUUGUGGAAGUUAUGAAGCCAGGCAGAUAAAAUCAGAAGGAGGAACUAUUUGGAACAAAGGCAGAGGGGAUAGCAGCUGUGAGGGGCUGACAGAGAGAAGGAUCUUGUGCUGAGGCCCCAGGUUGUCAGACUCCCAAGUUAGCUUAAAGGUCACCUCUGAAAGAUAGCAUUUCAAAGGGCAAAUAUUACAAGGUUGCCCUCUCUGCUCCUACAGCUGAAUUAGGCCUCCAAGAGAUCGACUUUGAAGGAUGGCACUCCAGGGUUCUGCCUCUUCUCUCCCUUCAUUUGUCUCUGUUAUAAGACAACACUUUAUAUAUUUACUUCAAGAUCAGCAAUGCAAAGAGCAAUAUUACAUACAACAAUAAAGAACAUGUGCAUUUAUCAUGAUAACUAUCCACUACAGAAUACCAGAGCAAGAAAAUUAGGUUGGGUGAGGCUUUUUGAGGUUUUUUUGUGAGACACUGGUAGAAUUACUAAAAAAAGAGUUUGCCAAGACAGGGAGAUUUUAUUGUUUGUAAAGGAAAUAAAACACAAAUUGGCCUGCAAAUUCUUAGAAAGCAUUAAUGACAUUUUUUGUAACUCAAGGAGGUACUACAAAAAAUCUUUAUAUUUGUAGGAAGAAGCUUGUUGAAAAUUUGGAUAUAAGGCAACUGGAAUAGGAUGAAAAAGUUCAGAACUUUAAAAAGAAACAAAAAA
ensembl:lncRNA